UCAUUCAGAGGUGACAGACCACCAGAGUAACUAAUAGAGGGACAGACAAUGUCUGUUCAGAGGCCAGCACUCCUGUCACUUCUGUCACUCUGUGCUCCUAAAUAGUCACUGGAAUGAGGCUCUGGAUACUGAGACAGGCAUGUGGUCCUGCUGGAGCAUCACUACUGAAAGGCGCUAUAUAGACUGACUAACAGGUGACAUUCAGUGACACUCAGAGGACACAGCAGUUGGGGUGUCAGCCUGAAGGACAUGUGGCUGUGAAUCAACAGUGACCCCUGCUGGUCAGACUGGUAUUUGUAGAUCUGAGGUGUCACCGCCCCUAACUAUGACACACACACCUGAUUGGCUACUCAGACUCAAUAAUAAUGGAGACCCUGACAGCCGCACUCGCCCCUCAUUCUCUUCCACAAAUUCACUCACAGAGGUGCUGCCCCCC